CUGCAGGUCCCCAGCUGUGCCCUGCUCCCAUUCAGUCAGUCCUUGGCCCUGGCAUUCGAGCCGCUCCACUCAGCUCCUCCCUCAUCGUACGGGACAUAUCCGGUCCCACAAGACCGGCCGCACGGUGUCAGUGCCCGAACCUGUGCUCAGCCGAGUCUGGGCGGGUCCCGAGUGCUGCAGGGUCGGCCUGAUCUGCCUGCAUCACUUCCCAUCUCCGCCAGCUCCUAGGCCGGGGCUGUCUCUGGGACAGGGGAGCUGAGACCACAUCCCGGUGCCCUCCACCCGGCACUCGGCAGGCGUCCUGCCGGCUUCGGACUGUGUAGGGAGCAGCCCGGAUGCACCCGAGGACCCAUUCUGUGAAGCACAGGGCCAGCAGCCACGCCACGCGUGGCCACGGAGACCCGGCGGGAGGUGUGCUCUCUCCCAGCACACUGUGACCCUCGGCCCCAAGCCUCACCAGCUGUUUCUCCAUAUCCUCGUCCCGAGGAGAGCUGACGA